GUGCUCACUUCAGCAACACAUAUACUAAAAUUGGAACAAUACAGAGAAGAUUAGCAUGGCUCCUACACAAGGAUGACACACAAAUUCAUGAAGCAUUCCAUAUAUUU
rnacentral:snRNA from 1 species